rnacentral:snoRNA from 1 species
UUUAAAUGAUGAAUACACAUUAUUACCUUUUUUUUUCUGGCAUCUCUAAUGUUAGGGUGAGGCGUUUCAGUACGAUCCACUCGAUGAAUACAACCAUUGACAAUUUUCUGAAU